AGUGAACGCUGGCGGUAGGCCUAACACAUGCAAGUCGAACGGCAGCACAGUAAGAGCUUGCUCUUACGGGUGGCGAGUGGCGGACGGGUGAGGAAUACAUCGGAAUCUACUUUUUCGUGGGGGAUAACGUAGGGAAACUUACGCUAAUACCGCAUACGACCUACGGGUGAAAGCAGGGGAUCUUCGGACCUUGCGCGAUUGAAUGAGCCGAUGUCGGAUUAGCUAGUUGGCGGGGUAAAGGCCCACCAAGGCGACGAUCCGUAGCUGGUCUGAGAGGAUGAGUAGACCCACCGGAACUUGGAAAAGGGCCCAAACCCCACGGGAGGGAGGCGUGGGGAAUAUUGGACAAUGGGGGCCAGCCUGAUCCAGCCAUACCCGGGGGGGGAAGAAGGCCUUUGGGUUUUAAAAGCCCUUUUUUGGGAAAAAAAAGCAGGAGGGUAAAACCCCGGUGUUUUGACGGGAACCCAAGAAAAAGGACCCGCUAACCUUGGG
rnacentral:rRNA from 1 species